rnacentral:rRNA from 1 species
GACGAGGGAUCCUAGCGUUGUUCGGAAUCAUUGGGCGUAAAGCGGGUGUAGGUGGUCUGAUAAGUCAGAUGUGAAAGCCCAGGGCUUAACCCUGGAAGUGCAUUUGAUACUGUCAGGCUUGAGUGUGGGAGAGGAUAGCAGAAUUCCUGGUGUAGUGGUGAAAUACGUAGAUAUCAGGAGGAAUACCGGAGGCGAAGGCGGCUAUCUGGCCCAACACUGACACUGAGACCCGAAAGCGUGGGGAUCAAACAGG